AUUGAACGCUGGCGGCGUGCCUAACACAUGCAAGUCGAGCGGUAACAGGUGUAGCAAUACAUGCUGACGAGCGGCGAACGGGUGAGUAAUACUUCGGAAUCUACCCAAUGGUGGGGAAUAACCAGCCGAAAGGUUGGCUAAUACCGCAUACGUCCCACGGGAGAAAGCAGGGGAUCGCAAGACCUUGCGCCAAUGGAUGAGCCGAAGUCGGAUUAGCUAGUUGGAGGGUAACGGCCUACCAAGGCGACGAUCCGUAGCUGGUCUGAGAGGACGACCAGCCACACUGGGACUGAGACACGGCCCAGACUCCUACGGGAGGCAGCAGUGGGGAAUAUUGGACAAUGGGGGAAACCCUGAUCCAGCGACGCCGCGUGUGUGAAGAAGGCCUGCGGGUUGUAAAGC
rnacentral:rRNA from 1 species